GGUGUGCCGAUUUCGAGGAACUGUGAUUUUUUUUUUUCCUCCGACCACGGCGAGAACGACGACUCCCGUCUACGGUGUGACGUUUUUUUUGGAGCAUCGGACGCAGAAGGAGACCCACGCAGGCUGCAGUACAUCAUAAAGGUGAGGAUCAUCAGACGACGUCGUCACUGGGCCACAAUGUCACAAACAGCCAACGAGUAAGUGAGCCGGUCGAGGGCUGGGCGUAGGAUGGGCCCGAGCGCAGGAGUUUCCGUGCUCAAGGUGGCGGAAGCAGCAGCAGCAGUGCAGGUCGUCAUAGUGGUGUGAUCGUCCAUUGUGAUCGACUGAUGCGUCAGCCUGCAGCGGCAAAGCUGUAGGAAGGAAGAGAAAAAGAAUUAAAAAAAAAAUAUAUACAUAUAUAUAUACGUGUUUAUCUGGUACAUACAAACGGAGCUGCACGACAACGCGAGCGAUUGAAACAUUGCGCUGAAGCUGAGAGCGAGAGGAGGUGGGGAGGCGGCCGUGGUGGAGACUGAGGAGGAUACCAUGCCGUCCUCGGCGGAGAGCGCCGCCACCGAGCGGCAUAACGACAGGACGGUGAGUUUGG